rnacentral:tRNA from 2 species
CCCUGGUUAGCUCAGUUAGUAGAGCGCUCCACCUGUAAUGGAGAGGUCGCGGGUUCGAUACCCGGACCAGGCG